UGGGGAAUAUUGGACAAUGGGCGCAAGCCUGAUCCAGCAAUGCCGCGUGGGUGAAGACGGCCUGCGGGUUGUAAAGCCCUUUAAGCGGGGAGGAAGGGUCGCAGACGAACAGUGUGCGAUUUUGACGUUACCCGCAGAAUAAGCACCGGCUAACUCCGUGCCAGCAGCCGCGGUAAUACGGAGGGUGCGAGCGUUAAUCGGAAUUACUGGGCGUAAAGCGUGCGUAGGCGGAUCGGUCAGUCAGCCGUGAAAGCCCUGGGCUUAACCUGGGAAUGGCGGUUGAGACGGCGGGUCUGGAGUGGGCUAGAGGACUGUGGAACUCCCGGUGUAGCGGUGAAAUGCGUAGAGAUCGGGAAGAACACCGAUGGCGAAGGCAGCGGUCUGGGGCCACACUGACGCUGAGGCACGACGGCGUGGGGAGCAAACA
rnacentral:rRNA from 1 species